rnacentral:pre_miRNA from 1 species
AAGACNUCCCUCCGUCCCAAAAUUCUUGUCUUAGAUUUUUCUAGAUACGGAUGUAUCAAGUCACAUUUUAGUAUUAGAUACAUCCGUAUCUAGACAAAUCUAAGACAAGAAAUUUGGGACAGAGGGAGUAGU